rnacentral:rRNA from 1 species
GAUAAACGCUGGCGGCGUGCUUAACACAUGCAAGUCGAACGAAGUUAUUCCUUCGGGAGCAACUUAGUGGCGGACGGGUGAGUAAAGCGUAGGUAACCAGCCCUGUACAUGGGGACAACAGCUGUAAACGGCUGCUAAUACCGCAUCAGCCCUAAGCACUGCAUGGUGCAUUUGGAAAAGGAACAAUCAGGUACAGGAUGAACCCGCGUCUGAUUAGCCAGUUGGCAGGGUAAAGGCCUACAAAAGCGACAACCAGUAUCCGAGCUGAGAGGAGGUACGGCGACAUGGUGACUGCGACACGGCCCAGACUCCUACGGGAGGCAGCAGUGGGGAAUAUUGCACAAUGAAGGAGACUCUGAUGCAACGACGCUGUGUGAGUUAAGAAGUAUUUCGGUAUGAAUAGCGCAAUAAGCUGGUAAGAAAAUGACGGUACCUUAUGAAUAAGCACCGGCUAAAUACGUG